rnacentral:rRNA from 1 species
AAUUUUCAACAACGGUUCUCUUGGUUCGGGCAUCGAUGAAAAACCCACCAAAAUGCAAUAAUUAAGGCAAAUUGCAAAAUUCCGUUGAUUCAUCAAAUCUUUGACCCCCCUUUGCCCCCUUUGGUAUUCCGAAGGGCAUGCUUGUUCAACC